AGCCGACGUUAAACCUCAAACCAUCAUCAUCAUCCUGUUUAUUUUAAAUGAGUUUGAGAUCUUCUGCUUAAGAUAAAGGCUUCUAUAGUACAUUUGUAUAUUAUAGUUUUUGUCAAAAAUGCAACUUCACCAUACAUCAUGGAAGUGAUAUGGAACAACAAGGGUGGUUCGAAGUUGCUAUAUCAGGGUUAUUCGUAAAUAAAGAAGAAAGAAAGCAAAUCAACAAUUAGGUGGGAGUAUUCCCACUAUUUAUAGGCAUAUUUUUAUGCCUUUCAUUGUCUGAAACAAACAGUAUUACAGUGUUGGGUUUAGUAUUACAGUGUUGGGUUUAGUAUUACAGUGUUGGGUUUAGUGUUACAUUGUUGGGUUUAGUGUUAUAUGUUGGGUUUAGUGUUACAUUGUUGGGUUUAGUGUUACAUUGUUGGGUUUGUUAUCAUAAUGUUGGUUUUUGUGUUACGGUAACAGUGUUGCAUUUAGUGUUGCUUUAGUUUUCCAUUAACGACCUUUCCUUUAGUGUUAAAGUGUUCAGUUUAGUGUACUGUAAUCAGGGUUUAGUAUUACAGUGUUAAGUUUAGUGUACUGUAAUCAGGGUUUAGUAUUGCAGUGUUAAGUUUAGUGUACUGUAAUCAGGGAUUUGUAUUAUAGUGUUAAGUUUAGAGUUACUGUAAUCAGGGAUUAGUAUUACAGUGUUAAGUUUAGUGUACUGUAAUCAGGGAUUAGUAUUACAGUGUUAAGUUUAGUGUACUGUAAUCAGGGAUUAGUAUUACAGUGUUAAGUUUAGUGUACUGUAAUCAGGGAUUAGUAUUACAGUGUUAAGUUUAGUGUACUGUAAUCAGGGAUUUGUAUUAUAGUGUUAAGUUUAGAGUUACUGUAAUCAGGGAUUAGUAUUACAGUGUUAAGUUUAGUGUACUGUAAUCAGGGAUUAGUAUUACAGUGUUAAGUUUAGUGUACUGUAAUCAGGGAUUAGUAUUACAGUGUUAAGUUUAGUGUACUGUAAUCAGGGAUUAGUAUUACAGUGUUAAGUUUAGUGUACUGUAAUCAGGGAUUAGUAUUAUAGUGUUAAGUUUAGUGUACUGUAAUCAGGGAUUAGUAUUACAGUGUUAAGUUUAGUGUACUGUAAUCAGGGAUUAGUAUUACAGUGUUAAGUUUAGUGUACUGUAAUCAGGGAUUAGUAUUAUAGUGUUGUUUUAGUUUUACAGUAACACCUUAGUUUUAGUGUUCUAGUGUUGAGUUGAGUUUUACAGUGUUGGCUUUUGUGUUACUAUAACAUUAUCGGGUGUAGUGUCCCUGGUUCUGGAAAUAACAGGGCUGAUUUGUCAGUCCAAACUUCUGGAAGCGAUGUAUAUAGACAUUUUGUUGAUAUUGUGUGUGUCACUGUUAUAAAAAAAUAAUGUGUGUGGUUUAGAAAAAAGGUUGGAAUCAAACAUUGACUUCAAAAUGCUUUCAUCUUGUUUCUUUACUUGGUUUGUUUUAGUCCUUUUUGAAUAAAUAUUGCUUAAGAAAUA